rnacentral:lncRNA from 1 species
ACGUAUAUUUGAAGUUAGAAUGGUUCACUAUAUGUUAGCAGGUGUCUGUAAGCACACCCGAAGGAAAACCCAGAGGCCCAAAAAAAGUGAAACUAGACAGAAACUUGUGUAUUAUAGCAAGGGGUUUUUGCUCGAAUUGGGUGAAACUUGAAAUGAGGGACAAUACCUCAUUUUCUUUUGAAACUAACGUUUUUAAUGUCAAUAUGAGAAGAAUUGAAGAGAACAUAAUCUUAAAAAGUCAUUCGAUACCAAUUAAAACAACAAUUUCAACAGCUUUACAAAAUACGGCACGCGUGAGUUUAUUUAAGCCCGAUUGCGAGUAAAUUGAUAAAAGACACGUAUUUUUGAUGCUAGAAUGGUUUACUAUAUGUUAGGAGGUGUCUGAAAGCACACAUGUACGGAAAAAGCCAGAGUCCCAAAAAAAUGUGAAACUGGCUACAAACUCGUGUGCUAUAGCAUGUGGUUUUGGCUCAAAUUGGGUGAAAUUUGAAAUGAGGGACAAUACCUCAUUUUCAUUUAAAAUUAAUGUUCUUGGUGUAUAUAUGAAAAGAAUUGAAGAGAACGAAAUCUUGGAAAGUCACAGAAUACCAAUUAAAACAGCAAAUUCAACAACUUUACAAAACACGGCACGCGUGAGUUUAUUUAGGCCCGAUCGCGAGUAAAUUGAUAAAAGACAUGUAUUUUUGAAGCUAGAAUGGUUCACUAUAUGUUAGGAGGUGUCUAUAAGCACAUCCGAACGGAAAAAGCCGGAGGCUCAAAAAACGUUAAACUGGGCAAAAACUCGUGUGCUAUAGCAUGGGGUUCUAGCUCGAAUUGGGUGAAACUUGAAAUGAGAGACAAUACCACAUUUUCUUUUGAAACUAAGUUUCCGAUGUCAAUAUGAGAAGAAUUGAAGAGAACAUAAUCUUAAAAAGUCAAUACCAAUUAAAACAGCAAUUUCAACAACUUUACAAAACACGGCACGCGUGAGUUUAUUUAGGCUCGAUCGCGAAUAAAUUGAUAAAAGACAUGCAUUUUUGAAGUUAGAAUGAUUUACUAUAUGUUAGUAGGUGUCUAAAAGCACACCCAAACGGAAAAGCCAGAGGGCCAAAAACAAGUGAAACUGGGCAGAAACUCGUUUGUUGUAGCAAAAGGUUUUGGCUCGAAUUGGGUGAAACUUGAAAUGAGGGACAAUACCUCAUUUUCUUUUGAAACUAAGGUUUCCGAUGUCAAUAUGAGAAGAAUUGAAGAGAACGUAAUCUUAAAAAGUCAUUCGAUACCAAUUAAAACAGUAAUUUCAACAGCUUUUUAAAACACGGAACGCGUGAGUUUAUUUAAACCGGAUCGCGAGUAAAUUGAUAAAAUACACGUAUUUUUGAAGCUAGAAUGGUUCAUUAUAUGUUAGGAGGUGUCUGAAAACACACCCGAACGGAUAAAGCCGAAGGGACAAAAAAGGUGAAAUUGGGCAGAAACUCAUGUGCUAUAGUAAAUUAUUUUGGCUCGAAUUGGAUGAAACUUGAACUGAAGAAAAUACCUCAUUUUCUUUUAAAAUUAAGGCGGGCCAAGGCAGGUCAAGGUGGGCCUAGAAGGGCCGAAGAGGGUCAUGGCGGCUUCUUGGUGGAAUUAGGCUGCCCAAGGCGGGUCAUGGCGGGUCAAGGCGGUCCAUGGCGGGUCAAGGCGGGCCAAAACGGGUUAAGGCAAAGAAAGGCGGGUCAAGGCAAGCCAAAACAGGUGAAGGCGGAUUAAGGCGGUCACCUAGGAGGGUCAUGGCGAGGCCUUGGCAAGUCAUGGCGGCUUUUUGGUGGCACUAGGCUGUUUAAGGCGGGUCAAAGCUGUCCAAGGUGGGCCAAAGCAGGUCAAGGCGGGCAAAGGCGGGUCAAAGCGGCCUAAGGCAGGUCGAGGCAGGUCAAGGCGGGUCAAGGUGACCCCCUUAGCCUAGGUGGGUCAUGGCCCCUUGGCGGCCCUAGGUGGGUUAUGGUGCACCCUUGACUACCUUAGGUGGGCCUAGAAGGGUCGAGGAGGGUCAUAACGACGUCUUAGCGAGUCAUAUAUCGCGGUUUUUAUGUGGCACUAGGCGGCCCAAGGCGGGUCAAUGUGGCCCAAGGCAGGUCAAGGCGGGAUAAGGCGGUCCAAGGCAGGAGGCAGGUCAAUGCGGCCCAAAGCGGGUCAAAGCGGCCCAAGACGGGCUAAGGCGGGUCAAGGUAACCCCAUGACGGCCCUAAGCGGGUCAUGGCGGGCCCUUGGGAGGUCAAAACAGACUUUGGCGUGUAAAGGCAGUCCCUUGGCAGGUCAAGAUGUCCCCUUGGCGGCCCUAGGCGUGUCAAGACGUGUAAAGCAACCCCUUGGCGGCUCUAGGUGGGUCAAAGCUGCCUAAGGCGGGUUAAGGUUGCACUUGGCGGGUCAAGGCGUGUAAAGACAGCCUUUUGACGGGUCAUGGCGAGCCAUUGCGGCUUCUUGGUUGCUUCUAAGACGGUCACGGCGGCCCUAGGCGGGUCUAAGAGGGUUAAGGCGGUUCAAGGCGUGCUAAGGCUGCCCAAGACGGGUCAAGGCGGCCCUAGGCAGCCCCUUGGAGGGUUUAGGAGGAUCAAGGCGGUUCAAAAGUGUCCCAAGGCUGGUCAAGGCUGCCCAAGAUGGGUUAAGGCAGCCUUAAACGGGCCUAGGAGGGUCAUGGCGGCUUCUUGGUGGCCCAAGGCGGGUCUAGGAGGGUCAAGGCGACAAAAGGCUGUUCAAAGCAGGUAAAGGCGACCCAAGGCUGGCCAAGGCAGGUCAAGGCGGCCCAAGACAGGCCAAGUCGGGUCGAGGUGGACCCAUGGCGGACGUAGGCAGUCCCUUGGCGGCCCUAGGCAGGUCAUGGCGGGCCUAGGGAGGUUAAAACAGCCUUAGGCAUGUAAAGGCAGCCCCUUGGAGGGUUAAGACGUCCCCUUGGAGGCCCUAAACGUGUCAAAGUGACCCCCUUAGCGGCCCUAGGAAUGUCAAGGCGGCCUCUUGGCUGCCCUAGGAAGGUUCAAGGCGGCCCACCCUAGGAGGGUCAAGGCAGCCCCUAGACGGGUGGGCCUAGCAGGGACGAGGAGGGUCAAAACGGCCCAAGGCUUCCAAGAAGGGUCAAGGCAAUCUAAGGUGACCCUUGACUAGCCUAGGAGGGUCAAGGCUACCCCAGGCGGGUCAAGGCGCCCCCUUGGCUGCUCUAGGUGGGCCUAGAAGAGCUGAGGAGGGUCAAGGCGGGCCAAAGCGGGUCUAGGCGGCCCUAGACGGGCCUAGGAGGGUCAUGGCGAGUCAUGGCGGUUUCUUGGUGGCCCUAGGCGGGCCUAGGAGUGUCAAGGCAGUUCAAGGCGGGUAAAGGUGGGCCAAGGCAGGUCAAGGCUGUCCAAGGUAGGUUAAGGCGGGUCAAGGGCGGAUGUAGGCUGCCCCUUGGCGGCCCUAGGCGGGUCAUGGUGGGCCCUAGGGAGGUCAAAACAGCCCUUGAUGUGUAAAGACAUCCCAUUGGCGGGUCAAGAUGUCCCUUUGGCGGCCCUAGGUGUGUCACGGCGGCCCUAGGAAUGUCAAGGCGGCCUCUUGGCAGCCCUAGUGUAACAUCCCGAAUUUUUGAAAUUUAUCAAAAAAUUCAUUUUUCUUCUUGGAAUUAGAAACUAGAUGUCGCCACGAGUUCGCCGUAUUUUUCGGUGAAUUUUUCGAAGUCCCGAGCUAUUUUUAACAAUUUUUCAAAAUUUCGUCGAACUUCUGUCGAAAUUGGUUUGAGUAAUGACGUGGCACUUUUCUUUGGUCAGUUUCCUUAGUCACCAAGUAUUGUUGUACGUGUCAGUUUUAGUCCAUGAAUCACUUGGACAUUGGUCAAAUAGAGGAAUGAGAAGUUGUGGAGACUUUGAGGUGUGUCACAAGCACCUUGGUGGUUUACCCAAAUUUUGACAUUUGGCCAAUUCUUAUUGGUUCUCUCUUCCUAUAUAUAGGGCCAGCAUAUACGUUGCUUCCGUAUCUGAUUUGAGCAGGCCCGCUCACCUGCGGGACAACUUUUACUGGACAAAACGGGAUACCUAGCUUAUAGCCAUUUGAUUUAAAUGAAUCAGAUCAUACGGAUGAAAGGGACUCCAUAAACCUUUGUGAAUCCACACAACCCACACCGAAUUCAUUUCCCAUCUUCUUCCUUUGUUGCUCCCUUUCUAUCCUUCUCUCUGUAUAUGCUCAUCUGGAUUUCCGCAACGUUUUAAAUUCUGGGUUUAGCUAAAACCCAUGAUUCAUUCUUCUCUGAUCUACAAGUACCCAAGAUCAUUGCUUUAUUGAGGUAGGAUGCUUCAAAUUUGGAUUAAAUCCAAAGGGAUGAACUUAUGAUCUCAUCCAUGAUUUCAUUAUUGGUGCAUAAAUUUCUGCCUUAGAUAUGAGAUUAAAUUGGAAGAUCAAAUUGGGUAUGGAAGGAGUGAAGCCGGAAGUGAAGGUUUUGCAUGACUUGCAGCAGUGACUUUAGUGGUGGCGGCCAUCUUUAUGAAAUCUCACUGUAGUUUUUUGUGGUGUUUGUAAUUAACCUUGUGCAUCUGUAGUCUUUCCUCAUGGAAUCAUGUUCCAUCUAACUUGUUUCGGGGUUUCCUUUCCCAUAUCUGAAGAUUUUAGAAGAUGGAGGUGAAGAGGUAAUGUGUUUGAAACCUGGGUUGGAAUGAUGAACAGAAGAGUUUUAGUUUAAUGAUUUAGAGCCAUUAGAUCUAAACUAACCAAAUCGGAGGGCUGAUAUCAUUUCGUCCCGUUUCGUCCCGUAAAAAUCGUCCCGCAAGUGAGCGGGCCUGCUGAUUUGAGAGACUUUUUCUCUCUUAAUCAUACUCUUUCUCUCUCUUCAUUUUCGUCACUUUCUCUCUCUAGAUUUUCUUUUACGAUUAAAACUUCGGCGGAUCAUAAUUUUUGAUCCGUAACUCCAAUUCCGGAUCCGCGUACGGGUUCGUAUCGAUGUUCUCUUUCUAUCCUAGAAGUUUGGGUUAGAUCCAACGGUGAUUCUAGAUGGCUCGUUUUAGGAGGCUCGGUUUAUGAUCGGUAUUUGUGGUGGGGUUUCGUUUUGUCGAGGUGAGUGGAUUUGUGUAAUAUGUUUCAAAUAUUCUUAUUUGCUAUCAAAUUAGUUGAAAAGCAUGAUUUUAUCUUUUUCAAAAUAUCUCUUUAUUUUAUAGUGAAGCAUGUCGAUAUUGCGAAAUAUGCGGUGUUUAUAUAUAUUUAUGUUGUGGAUCUAUUUGUUUGACUGGUCAUGGAACAUGUGAACUUCUUGAUUGGUUAUGCCGAAGUAAGGAUGUGACACACGGAGGUAUAGGACAUGAAGGUCAUUGGGUUCCCGUGGGGAUUACUAAAUUGAAGGAUAUCCUAUAAGAAGAGAUUGUGCGAUGUGAUGAAUUGCUUGAAGUGAUGUGUAUACUAUAUACGUAUUUUGUAGCAUGUGUAAAAUGACAUGGCUUUGCGGGCAUAUUACAUUGGUCUACUCACUAAGCGCGUGGUUAUGCUCACCCACCCAUCUCUAAUAUUUUUUGAAGAGAAGUACUUAGAUUUGAUCGAGCCGGGAAAGGGUAGCCGACGAGCCUAGAAGAUAGUGUAUUUAUUUUAUUCCGCUUUGUAACACUCGUUCACGCCUCGAAAUCGGCGUCCGCCGCUUAAAAACCUCCGACACCGGGACCGGGGUGUGACACCUAGACAUGUCAAGGCGUGUAAAGGCAGCCUUAGGUGGGUCAUGGCGCCCUCAAGGCUGCCCAAAGCGGGCCAAGACGAGUGAAGGCGGCCUAAGGCAGGCCAAAGCAGGUUAAGGCGGCCCUUUGGUUGCCCUAGACGGGCCUAGAAGGGUCAUGGCGACCCCUUGGCAAGUCAUGGCGGCUUCUUAGUGGCCCUAGGAGGGUCAAGGCAACCCCUAGACGGGUCAAGGCAUCCCCUACACGGGUCAAGGCAUCCCCUACAUGGGUCAAGGCGGCCCCUUGGCGGCCUAGGUGGGUCUUGGAUGCCCCCUUGGCUGCCCUAGAUGGGCCUAGCAGGGUCGAGGAGGGUAAAGGUGGGCCAAGACGGGUCAAGGCGAUUUAAGGCGGACCAAAGCGGGUUAAGGCGGCCCCUUGGUGGGCCUAGGAGGGUCAUGGCGGCUUCUUGGUAGCCCUAGGCGGGUCUAGGAGGGUCAAGGCGGCCUAAGGCAGUCUAAAGCGGGUCAAAACGCCCCCUUAGCCGCCCUAGGUGGGCCUAGAAGAGCCGAGGAGGGUUAAGGCGGGACAAAACGGGUCUACGCAGCCCCUUAGCAGCCCUAGACAGGCCUAGAAGGGUCAUGGCGACCCCUUGGCGAGUCAUGGCGGUUUCAUGGUGGCCCUAGGUGGGCCUAGGAGUGUUAAGGUAGCCCAAGGCGGGUAAAGGCGAGCCAAGGCGGGUUAAGGUGGCCCCAUGGCAGAGGUAGGCAGCCCCUUGGCGGCCCUAGGCGGGUCAUGGUGGGCCCUAUGAAGGUCAAAACAGCCCUAGGAGUGUCAAGGCGGCCCCCUUGGCGGCCCUAGAAAUGUCAAGGCGAUCUAUUGGCAGCCCUAGACGGGUCAAGGCGUGUAAAGGCAGCCCCAUGGUGGCCGUAGGUGGGUCAUGGCGCCCUCUUGGCUGCCCUUGGUGGGUCUAGCAGAGCCGACGAGGGUUAAGACUGGCCAAGACAAGUAAAGGCGGGUUAAGGUGAUCCUUUGGUUGCCCUAAACGGGCUUAGGAGGGUCAUGACGACCCCUUGCCGAGUCAUGACGGCUUCUUGGUGGCCCUAGGCUGGUCUAGAAGGGUCAAGGCAGCCCCUAGACGGGUCAAGGCAGGCCCUAGACUUGUGAAGACGGCCCUAGGUGGGUCUUGGAGCCGCCUUGGCUGCCCUAGCAGGGUCAAGGAGGGCAAAGAUGAGUCAAGGCUAUCUAAGGUAGGCCAGGGCGGGUUAAGGCGGCUCUUGACCAGCCUAGGAGGGUCAUGGGGACCCCUUGGUGAGUUAUGGCGUCUUCUUGGUGGCCCUAGGCGGGUCUAGGAGGGUCAAGGCGGUCCAAGGCGGCCCAAAGCUGGGCAAGACGGGUAAAAGUGGGCCAAGGCAGGUCAAGGCUUCCUAUGGCGGCCCAAGCGGGUAAAGGCGGCCCAAGGAGGUCCCAGGCGGGACAUGGCUUGUCCAGGCGAGUCAAGGAGGCCCAUGACGGGCCAAGGCGGGUCAAGGUGACCCCUUGGUGGAUGUAGACAACCACUUGGCGUCCCUAGGCGAAUCAUGGCGGCUUCUUGGUGGCACUAGGCCGCCCAAGGCUGUUCAAAGCGGCCUAAGCCGGGUCAAGAAGUCAAGGUGGUGCAACGCGGGUCAAGGCGGGUCAAUGCGAGUCAAGACGUCCUAAGGUGGGUCAAAGCGGCCCAAGACGGGCCAAGGCGAAUCAAGGUUGCCUAGACGGCUCAAGGUAGCCCCAUGACAGCGGUUGGCAUCCCCUUGGUGGCCCUAGGCAGGUCAUGGCGGGCUCUAGGGAGAUCAAAACAGACCUAGGUGUGUAAUGGCAGCCCCUUGGCAGGUAAAGACGUCCCCUUGGUAGCCCUAAGCGGUUCAAGGUGGCCCAAGGUAGGUCACGGCGGGCCAAGACGGGCCAAAGCGGGUCAAGGCAGGUUAAGGCGGCCCAAGACGGUCCAAGGCUGGUCAAGGCGGCCCAAGGUGGUCCAAGCCGGGUCAAGGCGCCCUCUUUAUAACUCUAGGUGGGCCAAGGCGGGUCUAGGCGGUCCUAGACGGGCCUAGGAGGGUCAUGGCGACCCCUUAGCAAGACAUGGCGGCUUCUUGGUGGCCUUAGGCGAGUCUAGGAGGGUCAAGGCGGCUCAUGGCGGCCCAAAGCAGGUCAAAGCGGGUCAAGGCAGGCUAAGGUAGGUCAAGGCUGGUCAAGGCGACCUAAGACGGGCCAAGGCGGGUGGUGGCCCCUUGGCGGACAUAGGCGGGUCAUGGCGGGCCCUAGGGUAGUCAAAACACCCCUAGGUGUGUCAAGGCAGCCCCCUUGGCGGCCUUAGGAAUGUCAAGACGGCCUCUUGGCGGCCCUAGAUGGGUCAUGGCGUGUAAAGGCAGCCCCUAGGCAGCCCUAGGUGGGUCAUGGCACCCCCUUAGCUGCCCUAGGUGGGCCUAGAAGAGCCGAGGAGGGUUAAGGCGGCCCAAGGCAGGCCAAGACGGGUCAAGGCGGGUAAAGGCGGCCCUAAACGAGAUUAGGAGGGUCAUGAUGACGCCUUGGCAAGUCAUGGCAGCUUCUUGGUGGCACUAGGCAGUCCAAGGCAAUUCAAGGCGGUCCAAGGGAGGUCAAGGCGGGCCAAAACGGGUCAAGGCGGGUCAUGGCUCCUCCUUGGUUGCCCUAAGUGGGUCUAGAAGGGCCGAGGAGGGUCAAGGCAGUCCAAGGCGGGUCAUGACGGGUCAAAGCGGCCCAAGACGAGCCAAAACGGGUCAAGGUAGCCCCAUGGCGGCCUUAUGCGGGUCAUCGUGGGCCCUAGGGAGGUCAAAACAGACCUAGGAGUGUAAUGGCAGCCCCUUGGCAGGUUAAGACAUCCCUUUGGCGGCCCUAGGCGUGUCAAGGCGGCCCUAGGCGGGUCAAAAUGUGUAAAGGCAGCCCCUUAGCGGCUCUAGGUGGGUCAUGGCUCCUCCUUGGCUACCCUAGGUGGACCGAAGAGGGUCAAGGACCAAGGCGGGAAAAGACGAGUUAAGGCGGCCCUUGGCGGGUUAAACCCUAAACCCUAAGACGAGCCAAGGCGGGUUAAGGUGGCCCUACAAGGGUCAAGGUAACUCUAGACGGGCCUAGGAGGGUCAAGGCGUGUAAAGGCAGCCCCUUAACGGGUCAUAGCGGCUUCUUGGCUUGUCAAAACGUCCCUUUGGCGGCCCUAUGAGACAAAAUCAUUCAUAACCACACUAUUGUUUGACAAAAAUCACAUUUUUUUCCUUACAUAUGGUCAAUAUUUGACUCACAUUCUCGGUCUUUAUAGUGACUUCGAAAAAUCAUAUAAAAAAAUCGCAUGAGAUUUUUUAGUUCUGUCAGUUCGAGAAGUGCUAAAAUAACAGGGCCAAAAUAUGAGAAAUUUUUUGUGAAACAAUAGGAACAUGUGUUUUAAAAAACGAGUUUUUGACAAUAAAAAAAUUAAAAUGGGAGAAAAUUUAAGUGUGCACCUAUGAGGCAAAAUCAUUCAUAACCACACUAGUUUUGGAAAAAAAAAUCAUAUUUUUCCCUUAUAUAUGGUCAAUAUUUGACUCGUAUUCUCAGUCUUUAUAGUGAUUUUAAAAAAU